rnacentral:lncRNA from 1 species
UAUGGGGCUCAGAGCUAUGGGGCACCUAUGGGGCUCUGUGCUAUGGGCAGGGGGUUAUGAGGUAGUGCUUUGGGGCUCAGGCUUAUGGGGCACGCUAUGGGGCCAUCUGUUGCUAUGGGCCACUAUGGGGUCGAGCUAUGGGCUCGUGCUAUGGGGCACGCCUAUAGGGGCUCUGUUCCUUUGUCUGCUAUUGGGGCCGUAUGGGGCUCUGUGUUAUGGGAGACACUAUGGGGCUCAGAGCUAUGGGGCAGGGGGUUAUGGGGCUCUGUGCUAUGGGGCAGGGGGUUAUGGGGCACAGGGCUAUAGGGUGAUGUGCUAUGGGGCUCUAUGCUAUGGGGCACAGAGCUAUGGGGUGUGCUAUGGGGCACAGAGCUAUGGGGCUCUAUGCUAUGGGGUGCGCUAUGGGGCGCUAUGUUAUGGGGUGCUAUGCUAUGGGGCACACUAUGGGGUGCUACGCUAUGGGGCGCUGCUGUGGGGCUGGCCCCAUCCCCGCCGCCGUCAUCAAUGGGGCUGAGCAGCUCCGGCCCCACAAGUGGCGCCAUGUGGGGCUGACGGGACCUGUGGGGCACAGAGAGAGAUUGACCCCAUAGAGCCUGACCCAUAGAGACACAUAGGGACCUAUAGGGACCCAUAGAGACCCCAUAGAGCCCUGACCCACAGAUCCCACCCCAUAGAGACCCCAUAGUAACCCACAGAGACCCAUAGAGACCCCAUAGACCCCAUAGAGACCAAUAGAACCCCAUAGACCCCAUAGAGACCCAUAGAGACCCCAUAGAGACCCAUAGAGACCCAUAGAGACCCAUAGAGACCCCAUAGAGACCCCAUAUCAUCCUAUAUAACCCAAUAUCCCCCCAUAUCCCCCCAUAGAACCCCAUAGAGGCCCCAUAGAGACCCCAUAGACCCCAUAUAACCCCCAUAAACCCCAUAGACCCCAUAUAAACCCCAUAGAGCCCCAUAGAACCCCAUAUAAACCCCAUAGACACCAUAGAACCCCAUAUCACCCCAUAUCACCCAUAGACACCCCAUAGAGACCCCAUAUACCCCAUAUAACCACAUAGAGACCCAUAGGGACCCCAUAGAGACCCAUAGAGACCCCAUAGAGACCAAUAGAACCCCAUAGACCCCAUAGAGACCCAUAGAGACCCCAUAGAGACCCCAUAGAGACCCCAUAGAGCGCUGACCCACAGAUCCCACCCCAUAGAGACC